GACGAACGCUGGCGGCGUGCCUAAUACAUGCAAGUAGAACGCUGAAGGAGGAGCUUGCUUCUCCGGAUGAGUUGCGAACGGGUGAGUAACGCGUAGGUAACCUGCCUGGUAGCGGGGGAUAACUAUUGGAAACGAUAGCUAAUACCGCAUAACAGUAGAUAUUGCAUGAUAUCUGCUUGAAAGGUGCAAUUGCAUCACUACCAGAUGGACCUGCGUUGUAUUAGCUAGUUGGUGAGGUAACGGCUCACCAAGGCGACGAUACAUAGCCGACCUGAGAGGGGGAUCGGCCACACUGGGACUGAGACACGGCCCAGACUCCUACGGGAGGCAGCAGUAGGGAAUCUUCGGCAAUGGACGGAAGUCUGACCGAGCAACGCCGCGUGAGUGAAGAAGGUUUUCGGAUCGUAAAGCUCUGUUGUAAGAGAAGAACGAGUGUGAGAGUGGAAAGUUCACACUGUAACGGUAUCUUACCAGAAAGGGACGGCUAACUACGUG
rnacentral:rRNA from 1 species